AUCUGUUGCGGGCAGAUAAAAUGAAUGUGGGCGUCGAUGCCGCCGGCGGUGAUAAUCUUGCCUUCGCCACCGAUCACAUCCGUGCCGGGGCCGAUAAUAAUAUCGACAUUGUCCUGCACAUCGGGGUUGCCCGCCUUGCCGAUGGCGGCGAUGCGCCCGUUUUUAAUGCCGAUGUCGGCCUUGACGAUGCCCCAGUGAUCGAUAAUCAGCGCAUUGGUGAUGACCAGAUCGGCAACGUCAGCCGAGACGGCCUGUGAUUGUCCCAUGCCAUCACG
rnacentral:sRNA from 1 species